GACGAACGCUGGCGGCGUGCUUAACACAUGCAAGUCGAACGGAAAGGCCCUGCUUUUGUGGGGUGCUCGAGUGGCGAACGGGUGAGUAACACGUGAGUAACCUGCCCUUGACUUUUGGAUAACUUCAGGAAACUGGGGCUAAUACCGGAUAUGAGCUCCUGCUGCAUGGUGGGGGUUGGAAAGUUUCGGCGGUUGGGGAUGGACUCGCGGCUUAUCAGCUUGUUUGUGGGGUAGUGGCUUACCAAGGCUUUGACGGGUAGCCGGCCUGAGAGGGUGACCGGCGACAUUGGGACUGAGAUACGGCCCAGACUCCUACGGGAGGCAGCAGGGGGGAAUAUUGCACAAUGGGCGGAAGCCUGAUGCAGCAACGCCGCGUGCGGGAUGACGGCCUUCGGGUUGUAAACCGCUUUCGCCUGUGACGAAGCGUGAGUGACGGUAAUGGGUAAAGAAGCAACGGCUAACUACGUG
rnacentral:rRNA from 1 species